rnacentral:rRNA from 1 species
UACAACUCCAGAGCUCAACAGAAGCCCCGUUAUGCCCCAUACUCGGGAGGGCAUACCCAUCACACUCAUGGAGGACAUAAUCAUGGAGGACAUAACCAUGGACGGAAUGGGAACAACCGCAACCACGACAACAACUCCAAGUCAGGCAAUGGAGGCAAUGGCAACCAGCAUCGUCCUGCCCCGGCUCAGAAGGAUCUGAGUCACAUCACCUGUUUCAAGUGCCAGAAGACAGGGCACUAUGCCACCGACUACCCGGAGGCUAAGCAUAGGAAUGGAAACAAUAAUGGCAAUGGAAGCUCAGCAAAGAAGCCCAACCCUUUUCCUCGUGCACAGGUGAAUCACAUUGACGUGGAGGACGUCUAUGAUCAGCCAUAA